GGGCGCUUAGCUCAGUUGGUUUAGAGCGUCUGCCUUACAAGCAGAGGGUCGGGGGUUCGACUCCCUCAGCGCCCA
rnacentral:tRNA from 1 species